ACACAGGGAGACAGAGAAAGCUGAACAGAUGGGGUGGCUCAAGGGCUCAGUGAAAUGGGAGGCCUUCCUCGCAAAGGGAACAAUGAGCCUGAAAAUUCAGGCAUGCGUGCACACAAGGCCGCCAGGCCCCCUGGCAUGAGCGCUGGGAGUAUUGGGGAGCAAUGAGAUGAGCUGGCAGUUGCAGAGCACUUCCUCUGUGCCAGGCACCUUACCUGACAGAAACCUCCCAGUCGGCCCUGUUUGCAGAAGAACGGAUUGAGGCUUAAGGAGGCCUUGGAAACUGCUUGAGCUCACCCAGAUGAGAAAGUCAUGGAGCUGGCCUUAAAACCCAGGCAUUCUGAUGCCUCAGCCCAUGACCCUAACCAUGGUGUGCUAUGUCUCAAGGAUGCAAAAUUCAGCUUCGGUGACCUUUUGCCAUCUCUGAGACCAGUUUCACAAGGACGAGUCUUGGCCUAUGUUCAGAAGUGUUCUACUUGCAACCCUCUCUCUCCACCCCAAAUCAGAAUUUAUUUGUUUUCAGAACUCCGGUCUCUGAGCUGCAAAAUAUGAAAAAUAAAUUUUAAAAUGAAUAAAUGGCUAAUAAUGUUAUACCUUGAUCUUAGCAACAUAUUUACAACUAACAGAAAUAUAAUGUUACAGUAAAAGACGUAGCUCUAAUUUCGCUCAUGGAGGCCAAAUCCCGGAGGAGGAGUUUUGGGACCCACGUGUUUUUCCUUAGUCCUUCAUCCUUACCCCAUAAAGAGGUGCCUACUUCCUGUGUGUGUGGGUUUGCUGGUAAGUUUCCUGUAAGUUGCAAGAAACAGAGCCCCACUCAAGUUGUCUAAAGUAAUGGGGGUUUGUUCUAAGGGUGGAUGUGCAAGCAAAAAAUACGCAUUUCUCAACUGUUGGACUAGACCACAGAGAAGAAGAGGACCCACAAUGAAGCCAGGCCUCCAGGCUCUGCAGGGCAGUUCAGAAAUCGACAAAUGGGGGACUGAGUAUCCAUCACCCUCUCAGCAACAUAAUCUGCUGAGCCCUCUUUCAGAGGCCAGCUUCUCUCAGUCUCUGCUUCUACUGCGUUUAUUUUCACUGUCAUUCUUCGCCAUAUUGUGUCUGCUCACUCACAGACUGCUGCUCACUCGUGCUAAUUAUAGAAACACUUAGAAAAUAUCAGAGGUAAAAAAUAGAACCACCAUUCAAGCAUAUCCUUCAGUGUUUUAUAUAUUUAUAUAUAUGUGUGUGUGUUAAAAUAAAAAGGUCUAUUCAGCAAAUAGUGCUAAAACAACUAAAUGCCCACAC
rnacentral:lncRNA from 1 species